UACGUAGGAGACGAGCGUUGUCCGGAGUUACUGGGCGUAAAGGGUGCGCAGGUGGCGGCGCGCGUGGGGGGUGAAAUCGCCCGGCUUAACUGGGCGGGGGCCUUCCAGACGGCGUGGCUUGAGCAGCGGAGGGGGACGUGGAAUUCCUGGUGUAGCGGUGGAAUGCGCAGAUAUCAGGAGGAACACCGGUGGCGAAGGCGGGAUCCUGGGCCAGUACUGACGCUGAGGAGCGAAAGCGUGGGGAGCAAACAGG
rnacentral:rRNA from 1 species